rnacentral:misc_RNA from 1 species
AGUCGUUAACAAGGUUUCCGUAGGUGAACCUGCGGAAGGAUCAUUAAUGGUCAGGGGUCUCCGGGCCCGACCCUCCAACUCUUUGGUUGUCACAAAAGCCCAAUUGUUCGCUUUGGCCGUGGAACCCGUCCCGCGAAUGGGGCUGCCGGCUUCUUUAGGGCCCGGCAUUGGCCGCCCGCCAAGAGGAAAACCAAACCUUCUUGUUUAUCAAACCGUUACGUCUGAGUAAAAAUGUUUAAAUCAAUCAAAAC